rnacentral:rRNA from 1 species
UACGUAGGGUGCAAGCGUUAAUCGGAAUUACUGGGCGUAAAGCGUGCGCAGGCGGCUUUGCAAGACAGAUGUGAAAUCCCCGGGCUUAACCUGGGAACUGCAUUUGUGACUGCAUCGCUGGAGUGCGGCAGAGGGGGAUGGAAUUCCGCGUGUAGCAGUGAAAUGCGUAGAUAUGCGGAGGAACACCAGAGGCGAAGGCGGCCACCUGGACAGACACUGACGCUGAGACGCGAAAGCGUGGGGAGCAAACAGG